rnacentral:rRNA from 1 species
CUACGGGAGGCAGCAGUGGGGAAUUUUGGACAAUGGGGGCAACCCUGAUCCAGCCAUUCCGCGUGAGUGAAGAAGGCCUUCGGGUUGUAAAGCUCUUUCGGCAGGAACGAAACGGUGAGGGUUAAUACCCCUUAUCAAUGACGGUACCUGAAGAAGAAGCACCGGCUAACUACGUGCCAGCAGCCGCGGUAAUACGUAGGGUGCGAGCGUUAAUCGGAAUUACUGGGCGUAAAGCGUGCGCAGGCGGUUUUGUAAGACAGAUGUGAAAUCCCCGGGCUCAACCUGGGAACUGCGUUUGUGACUGCAAGACUCGAGUGUGGCAGAGGGGGGUGGAAUUCCACGUGUAGCAGUGAAAUGCGUAGAGAUGUGGAGGAACACCGAUGGCGAAGGCAGCCCCCUGGGUCAACACUGACGCUCAUGCACGAAAGCGUGGGUAGCAAACAGGAUUAGAUACCCUGGUAGA